UUCGGGAGUGGAUUAGCGGCGGACGGGUGAGUAACACGUGGGCAACCUGCCUUGUAGAGAGGAAUAGCCAUUCGAAAGGAUGAUUAAUACCUCAUAAUAUUGUAGUUUCGCAUGAAGCAACAAUCAAAGGAGCAAUCCACUACAAGAUGGGCCCGCGGCGCAUUAGCUAGUUGGUGAGGUAACGGCUCACCAAGGCGACGAUGCGUAGCCGACCUGAGAGGGUGAUCGGCCACAUUGGGACUGAGACACGGUCCAGACUCC
rnacentral:rRNA from 1 species